GACGAACGCUGGCGGCGUGCCUAAUACAUGCCAGUCGAGCGCUCUAGCCUAGAUGAUUUUGGUCCUUGCACCAGUUGAAACUAGAUACAAGCGAGCGGCGGACGGGUGAGUAACACGUGGGUAACUUGUCCAAGCGACUGGUAUAACACCUGGACACAGAUGCUAAUACCGGAUAACAACACUAGACGCAUGUCCAGCGCUUAAAAGAUGGUUCUGCUUUCAUUCUUGGAUGGAUCUGCGUUGCAUUCGCUAGUUGGUAAGGCAAUGGCUUACCAAGGCAAGGAUGCAUAGCCGAGUUGAGAGAUGGAUCGCCCACAUUGGGACUGGGACACGGCCCGAACUCCUACGGGAGGCGGCGGUGGGGAAUCUUCGACAAGGGACGCAAGUCUGAUGGAGCAACGCCGCGGGGUGGAAGAAGUGUUUCGGCUCGUAAAGCUCGGUUGGUAGUGAAGAAAGAUAGAGGUAGGAACUGGCCAUUAUGUGACGGUAAUUACUUAGAAAGGCACGGCUAACUACGUG
rnacentral:rRNA from 1 species